UCCCUGGUGGCUCAGAGGUAAAGCAUCUGCCUGCAAUGCAGGAGACCUGGGUUCGAUCCCUGGGUUGGGAA
rnacentral:tRNA from 1 species